rnacentral:rRNA from 1 species
GACGAACGCUGGCGGCGUGCUUAACACAUGCAAGUCGAGCGGUAAGGCCCUUUCGGGGGUACGACGAGCGGCGAACGGGUGAGUAACACGUGGGUGACCUGCCCUCCAGCUCUGGGAUAAAGCCUGGGAAACCGGGGUCGUAAUACCGGAUAUGACUCCAUGACGCAUGUUGUGGGGUGGAAAGCCUUGUGCGGCUGAGGAUGGGCCCGCGGCCUAUCAGCUUGUUGGUGGGGUGAUGGCCUACCAAGGCGACGACGGGUAGCCGGCCUGAGAGGGCGACCGGCCACACUGGGACUGAGACACGGCCCAGACUCCUACGGGAGGCAGCAGUGGGGAAGUCUUGCGCAAUGGGCGAAAGCCUGACGCAGCGACGCCGCGUGAGGGAUGACGGCCU